UACGUAGGGGGCAAGCGUUUGUCCGGAUUUAUUGGGCGUAAAGAGCUCGUAGGCGGUGUGUCGCGUCGGCCGUGAAAACCUGCAGCUCAACUGUGGGCUUGCGGUCGAUACGGGCAUCACUGGAGUUCGGCAGGGGAGACUGGAAUUCCUGGUGUAGCGGUGAAAUGCGCAGAUAUCAGGAGGAACACCGGUGGCGAAGGCGGGUCUCUGGGCCGAUACUGACGCUGAGGAGCGAAAGCGUGGGGAGCGAACAGG
rnacentral:rRNA from 1 species